UACGGGAGGCAGCAGUGGGGAAUAUUGCACAAUGGGCGAAAGCCUGAUGCAGCUAUGCCGCGUGUAUGAAGAAGGCCUUAGGGUUGUAAAGUACUUUCAUCGGGGAGGAAAAAACAAAACUAAUAAUUUUAUUUCUUGACGUUACCCGAAAAAGAAGCACCGGCUAACUCCGUGCCAGCAGCCGCGGUAAUACGGAGGGUGCUAGCGUUAAUCAGAAUUACUGGGCGUAAAGAGCACGUAGGUGGUUUUUUUAAAGUCAGAUGUGAAAUCCCUGGGCUUAACCUAGGAACUGCAUUUUGAAACUGAAAUACUAGAGUAUCGUAGAGGGAGGUAGAAUUCUAGGUGUAGCGGUGAAAUGCGUAGAUAUCUGGAGGAAUACCUGUGGCGAAAGCGGCCUCCUAAACGAAUACUGACACUGAGGGUGCGAAAGCGUGGGGAGCAAACGAGGAUUAGAUACC
rnacentral:rRNA from 1 species